rnacentral:lncRNA from 1 species
ACCAAAGCCUCCGCUCCUUACAUGGGUAAAAUUGAAUGUAGAUAGUGAUAGAAAUCAAACUGGUAACAUAGCCAUUCAUAAAGGGACUAAGGAGAAUCGGAUUUCAGCAUUUCAGGAUUUGCUGCUAGUUAAGGAAAGGGAAAUGGUUUUGUUUUGGAUGCUUAAAUCUGCGCAUAUAGUGACAAUAAGUACAAAAUAGGGUACAGUUUUGAACUCACCUGGUUCGGAAGUUUAUGUCUGUUUAUAUAGGUUUGUUCUUGGGAACCACGUUAGUCUCUAGCUACGUAGGACUCGUUCCUCCAGAGGUUGGCUGCCAUUGUGCGAGUUGUGAAGGCUACUUUGGAAAAUAUUCCAUAGUGUUUCCUGGCGGUGCUUGGUGCGGCCGCCACCAAAGUGUCCAGACUAGUGGUGUCCGACAAAUGGGCUCCGAUAGUCGUGUAGAGUGCGAGCACUCCCAUCCCGUAUAAAAUCUCAUAUAAAAACGCUCUCUAUUCAAAUUAAAUGCUGAUUUAAUUUAGAGUGCGUUAUUUUAAACAACUUUCUAUCUGAAAUCUCGAUAACUAGUGUGAUUACGCAGCUAUAGAUUCAGAGGUAAAAAACCAAAAAUAGAUAAAAAAAUGUUCAGAAAACAC